CACAAGUUUGAAUAGAAUACGAUUUCUUAAUGUUUUUAGGAACUUUCAGAUUGUAGUAUUUUUUGAAGUAGUCUUUGAAUAUUUCCAUGCUUCUGGAUAGAUAUUGAGGUCCUUCUGCUUGAAUGUAUAGAGUUCGUUUUUGAUUUAAUGGACUCGAGAAGGCGAGAAAAAUUUCAAAUGAAUUUCUGUACCAUAUCAUUCUACGAAAUGAUGUUCCUAGAAAGUAGUGUGAUUAACUAUUCUUGUGCGCCUUCCUUUAAAGUAUGAGGGAAUAGACACAGUUAAAAAGCGUCAACUGACUACCUUCGUGUUGAUCACCUUGCAAAUCAUCAAGAAGGCUUGAAUAUGUUCGUGGAGAUUUUUAGUUGAUUUUUUAGAGAACUUAAUGUCGUGAUAAUUUUGAAAUAGACUGAUGAUGUCGGGUCUAAUGUGGAAGUUGACAUGUCCAAAAGUUGGAUAUAUAUUAGGUGGUCACAUAGGAGCAGGUUUGAGAUUUACAUAAUCCCUUACUAAUAUUUCACCAUCGUAGGCAACUGUUCUUGGUGGAUCUGGCUGUGCUGGUGGAUCUGACUGUAACUGAAUUUGAUUUUGAUUUUGAUUUUUUGUCAUUUUUCUUGCUUCUCUCUUUUCUCUUUUUCAUUAUCUGAAAGUUCUUUCGAUGUCGAGAUUCAAUGGUAAGAGAUCGAUUUCUUCAUAAUCUUGCACAAAGUGUUAAAAAAAAAAAUGGAGGGAUUAUCUAUGUAAUUACUAGCCUGAAACAAAAUUAAAAAAAAAAUAAAAUGAAUCUUAUAUAAACUAAUAAAUUCAAAUUAAAUACUUUAUUCCCUGAUAGCAAUGUUAAAAGCUUGUUUGUGAUAAUUUGAUAAGCUUAUGAGAUCGUUGACAAGUAAUAGUUGUGAUGAGAUAGAGUAUGUUCUACACAGAAUAAAUUUUGAUUCAAGUUUACUAGUCUUGUAUUGAAUUCGAAGUAUAUAACAAAAAGGAGAUUUGAUUUAGAAUUAUG
rnacentral:lncRNA from 1 species